rnacentral:misc_RNA from 1 species
AACAAGGCGUACCUGCGGACCUGCGGAGGGAUCAUUAACAAGUGUAACCUACCCUUUUAAAAAAUGGGUGGUACCUCCCGUCCUUUGCGGGCCCCCUUCUUUUAUUAAGGGGGGGGCUUUUAAGACUUUCUGCUUCGGCGGGGUUAUUCCCGCCGGAACACCUUCAAAAAACUCUUGAUCAAAAAACUGUUCAGUCCGAGAAUUUUUGAAAAUUAAAACAAAACUUUCAACAACGGAUCU